CUUAUUAGAAAUUAUUAUAAUAAUAUCUGCUCAAUGAAUUUAAAUAGCCGCAUUUGUGCUAAGGUAGCAUAAUCAUUUGUCUCUUAAUUAGGGACUAGAACAAAAGAUUUUACAUUUAAAUAAAUUUUUAUAAUUUAUAAAUUUAAAUUAUUUUUAAUGUAAAAAAACAUUAAUUUAAUAAAUAGACGAUAAGACCCUAUUGAACUUUACUUUAGUUAAACUGGGGAAGUUAGUUAAUUAUUACUUUAAAUUAAUUUAAUAUUAAAUUGAUCUAAUAUAAUUAAUUUUAUGACUAAGUUACCAUAGGGAUAACAGUGUAAUAUCAUUUUAAAGAUCUUAUUUAAAAAGAUGAUUGCAACCUCGAUGUUGACUUAUAUCCUUAAUAACGCAAUAGUUAUUAAUGGGAGUCUGUUCGACUUUUAAAUAAUUACA
rnacentral:rRNA from 1 species